GAUGAACGCUGGCGGCGUGCCUAAUACAUGCAAGUCGAGCGAACAGACGAGGAGCUUGCUCCCCUGACGUUAGCGGCGGACGGGCGAGUAACACGUGGAUAACCUACUUAUAAGACUGGGAUAACUUCGGGAAACCGGAGCUAAUACCGGAUAAUAUAUUGAACCGCAUGGUUCAAUAGUGAAAGACGGUUUUGCUGUCACUUAUAGAUGGAUCCGCGCCGCAUUAGCUAGUUGGUAAGGUAACGGCUUACCAAGGCAACGAUGCGUAGCCGACAUGAGAAGAUGAUCGGCCACACUGGAACUGAGACACGGUCCAGACUCCUACGGGAGGCAGCAGUAGGGAAUAUUCCGCAAUGGGCGAAAGCCUGACGGAGCAACGCCGCGUGAGUGAUGAAGGUCUUCGGAUCGUAAAACUCUGUUAUUAGGGAAGAACAAAUGUGUAAGUAACUAUGCACGUCUUGACGGUACCUAAUCAGAAAGCCACGGCUAACUACGUG
rnacentral:rRNA from 1 species